rnacentral:rRNA from 1 species
GUCUACCACCAUAAUACCCUGAAUGUGCCAGAUCUCGUCUGAUCUCAGAAGCUAAGCAGGGUCGGCCCUGAUUAGUACUUGGAUGGAAGGAAGGUGCAUUUGGUC